GUCUCCGGACAUAUCAGCCUGAAGGCGCUAGAUCUUGUCUGCUCUCAGAAGUUUAAGCAGGGUCGGGCCUGGUUAGUAUCUUGGAUGGGAGACCACCUGGGAAUCCCGGGUGCUCGAGGCU
rnacentral:rRNA from 1 species